rnacentral:rRNA from 1 species
GACGAACGCUGGCGGCGUGCUUAACACAUGCAAGUCGAACGGAAAGGCCCUGCUUUUUUGGGGUGCUCGAGUGGCGAACGGGUGAGUAACACGUGAGUAACCUGCCCUUGACUUUGGGAUAACUUCAGGAAACAGGGGCUAAUACCGCAUAGGAGCUCCUGCUGCAUGGUGGGGGUUGGAAAGUUUCGGCGGUUGGGGAUGGACUCGCGGCUUAUCAGCUUGUUGGUGGGGUAGUGGCUUACCAAGGCUUUGCCGGGUAGCCGGCCUGAGAGGGUGACCGGCCACAUUGGGACUGAGAUACGGCCCAGACUCCUACGGGAGGCAGAAGUGGAGAAUAUUGCACAAUGGGCGGAAGCCUGAUGCAGCAACGCCGCGUGCGGGAAGACGGCCUUCGGGUUGUAAACCGCUUUCGCCUGUGACGAAGCGUGAGUGACGGUAAUGGGUAAAGAAGCACCGGCUAACUACGUG